rnacentral:rRNA from 1 species
GUUUUUUCUGCUCAGUGAUUUGUUAACAGCUGCGGUAAUAUUGACCGUGCAAAGGUAGCAUAAUCAUUUGCCUCAUAAUUAGGGGCUGGUAUGAAUGAAAUAACAAAGGCUUUGCUUUAUUUUUAAGAUUAAAAAAAUUUUCUUUUUUAGUGAAGAAGCUAAUAUUUUUAAAGGGGACAAGAAGACCCUUUUGAGCUUUAUUUAUUAUUUGCUUUUUGCAUUUUAAUGAGUUUGGUUGGGGCGACCAAGGAGAUAGAUCCUCCUAUUUUUAUUUUGAUCCACUUUUUGUGAUUAAAAGAACAAGUUACCAAAGGGAUAACAGCGUAAUCUCUUUUGAGAGUUCUUAUUAAAAAAAAGGAUUGCGACCUCGAUGUUGACUUAUAGUUUCCGUUUAGUGCAGCAGCUAAGUUGGUGGGUCUGUUCGACCUUUAAAACUUUACGUGAGUUGAGUUCAGACCGG